rnacentral:rRNA from 1 species
GAUGAACGCUGGCGGCGUGCCUAAUACAUGCCAGUCGAGCGAACGGACGAUGAGCUUGCUGCGCGGAUGUGAGGGGCGGACGGGUGAGUAACGCGUGUAUAAUGCACCUAUAUGAGGGGGAUAACUUCGGGAAAGGGGAGCUAAUACGGGAGAAGAUUUUGAAGCGCAGGGUGCAAUAGUGAAAGACGGUGUUGCUGUCACGUAUAGAUGGAUCCGCGCUGGAUUAGCUGGUUGGUAAGGUAACGGCUUACCAAGGCUACGAUGCAUAGCCGAACGGAGAGGGUGAUCGGCCACACUGGAACGUAGACACGGUCCAGACUACUACGGGAGGCCGCAGUCGGGAAUGUUCCGCAAUAGGCGAAAGCCUGACGGAGCGACGCCGAGUGAGUGAUGAAGGUCUUCGGAUCGUAAAACUCUGUUAUUAGGGAAGAACAUAUGUGUAAGUAACUGUGCACAUCUUGACGGUACCUAAUAAGAAAGCAACGGCUAACUACGUG